AUUGAACGCUGGCGGCAGGCUUAACACAUGCAAGUCGAGCGGAGAUGAGGUGCUUGCACCUUAUCUUAGCGGCGGACGGGUGAGUAAUGCUUAGGAAUCUGCCUAUUAGUGGGGGACAACAUUCCGAAAGGAAUGCUAAUACCGCAUAAGCCCUACGGGGGAAAGCAGGGGAUCUUCGGACCUUGCGCUAAUAGAUGAGCCUAAGUCGGAUUAGCUAGUUGGUGGGGUAAAGGCCUACCAAGGCGACGAUCUGUAGCGGGUCUGAGAGGAUGAUCCGCCACACUGGGACUGAGACACGGCCCAGACUCCUACGGGAGGCAGCAGUGGGGAAUAUUGGACAAUGGGCGGAAGCCUGAUCCAGCCAUGCCGCGUGUGUGAAGAAGGCCUUUUGGUUGUAAAGCACUUUAAGCGAGGAGGAGGCUACCUGGAUUAAUACUCUAGGAUAGUGGACGUUACUCGCAGAAUAGGCACCGGCUAACUCUGUGCCAGCCGCCGCAGUAAAAC
rnacentral:rRNA from 1 species